UUUUUUCUUCUAUUUAUGAUAAUGAGUCAAAUUCUUUUUGAAGAAGUAGGUUUUUAAUCUUCAGCUUCAAUUCAUUAGAAAAAAUUCAUAGCUCAUGUUAGUCCACCAAAUUCCAAACAAUAUUUUAAUGAUAUUAAAUGUAACUAGCCAUAAAAAUAGGAAGCAAAAAUUUACUUAACCAAAGUCACAAAGUUAAAUAUGUCUGAAUGGGGAAUACAGAAUGGGUAGCCCCACCUUCUCAACUCUUGACUGAUAAAUGGCCUAUACAAACAAAUACACAAAGGCCUUAUUUUUAUUGUCUGGAAUUCCACCAAAAAUUCCUAGUAUCCUCUCUUAAAGACUCACAGAGCUCUGGGAUGGUAGCAGGGCUUAAAAGUGAUUCACACUUCAACACUAACUAGUUCAAUCAGAUGGCCUUUCUAACCUGCGUAGGGUAACAGCUACAGAA
rnacentral:lncRNA from 1 species